CUUUUAUUUUUUAUUUUUUCAUAUCCCAGUGGAGAAAUCCAUUACAUACUGGGGAUAUACUGGUAUGUUACUUGAAAGCUGUAUUCCACAUUACUGCAUUUUGGUUAAUAUGGACAUACCGGUUUGAUCUGCUUUCUCUUUCCCAGGUGGUAUAGGCACCCAAUCUAUUAUUAGCCUAAAUUUUCAUCCAGCACCAGCAUCACCUUUAAGUACAGUAUGUGUAAUGUAAUGCCAGUAUUGAUGUAAACAAACACUGUCAUGGAAUGCAGGUUAUCUCAGUACACAUUUUAUUUUUAAUGAAGUUGUCUUUUUUAGCUUUAAUACACCUUUUAUGACAUGAAAACUGUCAAAAAUAGAUGAAACAAUGCUAUUUUCAGUAUGAAGCAUAACUUUAAAAAAAAAUUGCUGCGUGCUUAAUGCAAUUAUUUCUUUAUAUGUAUUUUAUAUAAUCACUGACACGUAUGUAUCUUAUGAUAUAUUGAAAUAUGGAUUGAAAGUCAGAGUGAAGUUGUCAGAAUGGUUCUUAAAGUUGAUGACUGGAAAAAUCUCAGUAAAUUUUGCAUGUUCCGUCAAAUUGAGGUUACUCCCCUUUUCAUGUAAUUUCUCGGGAAAUAUGACAAACACUAAAUUCAGAUUGUCUUUAUUUUGUUACAUUCAUGUAUCAGUAUUAAAAGAAACCACGACUUAUAUUAUUCGAACAGAAUUGGAAUCGGUAUAGGAUACAAGGAAGUAAAUACAGUUCUGUGCGCCACCUGGUUUUUACAUCCAACGUAAAGCCAAGAAGUAAAUAUAAUUUUUUUUUAUGAAUAUGUAUGAUAUUUAAAGAAAUGACUUUGGUGGAAGAAAGAUACGUAUUUAUGCAACACUAUGUAUGCAUUUAAAUAAUUUUAUUGAAUCAGCAAUAAUUUUCUUAACUUAUCUGUUGUAGAGGUGAACGUCCCAAUUUUUGACACAAAAAUUAGGUUCAAGCCAGACGGUAGUUGUGAAGAACCAAAAUUUAAAGUAAAAAAAGCUGCGGCACCAUAUGGUUUUUUGGUACUGAAAAACACCCAAAG
rnacentral:lncRNA from 1 species